CCCAGGUCAGGCGGGGCUACCCGCUGAAUUUAAGCAUAUCAUAAGCCGGGAGGAA
rnacentral:rRNA from 1 species